rnacentral:rRNA from 1 species
GAUGAACGCUGGCGGCGUGCCUAAUACAUGCAAGUCGAGCGAACGGACGAGAAGCUUGCUUCUCUGAUGUUAGCGGCGGACGGGUGAGUAACCCGUGGAUAACCUACCUAUAAGACUGGGAUAACUUCGGGAAACCGGAGCUAAUACCGGAUAAUAUUUUGAACCGCAUGGUUCAAAAGUGAAAGACGGUCUUGCUGUCACUUAUAGAUGGAUCCGCGCUGCAUUAGCUAGUUGGUAAGGUAACGGCUUACCAAGGCAACGAUGCAUAGCCGACCUGAGAGGGUGAUCGGCCACACUGGAACUGAGACACGGUCCAGACUCCUACGGGAGGCAGCAGUAGGGAAUCUUCCGCAAUGGGCGAAAGCCUGACGGAGCAACGCCGCGUGAGUGAUGAAGGUCUUCGGAUCGUAAAACUCUGUUAUUAGGGAAGAACAUAUGUGUAAGUAACUGUGCACAUCUUGACGGUACCUAAUCAGAAAGCCACGGCUAACUACGUG